CAUUUAUUUACACCUAUCCUGUACCCAUUUUGCUUUGUUUGGUGACCACUUCCCAUGCCUUCCAUACCUGCAGGGAUGGAACACAUGACCAGUUCUUAUAUUCAUGUUUCAUAAGCCUUUGACAUUGGCUCAAGCCCAAGCAGGUUCUAUCAGAGCAGGAAGGAGAGCACUUUUGUAGAAUUUGCCAGGCACAUGUAGAGUACCUGUGUGUUUCAACAAGAAAAUGGAGGCUUUUCUGCUAUCAGUUGACAUUGCUGUGACCAUAAAAACAAAGAAUUCCAUCCUGUUUCCUUGCCAAGAAAGAGUGCCCAGCAGAGCAAGCCCAGUGUCUUAUCUCUCCAUCCAGACAGUGAUUCUUGCAUAGGUUCAGCUGCAGAGAUGGUUGUGGUGAUGGUCAAGAAGGAAGACAGGAAGACAUUCUCAUUGGCCAGUUGGACUCUGGGUGAGGAAGGACUGAGGACUCCACCAGGUCUCCUAGGCAGUGAAGACUACGAGAUGGAAGGAUCUAUAGGCAGGUAGGUAUCACUCCAAGCCAGGGACAAGCAAGAGGCUACUUGCUCUGAUCUUCCUCUCGGGCCCCUUGGCAGAGCAAGGUGGAGGCAGAACUACCCCCAAGCAAGCAAUCAAGCACAUGGACAAACAAAUGUAAAAAUCCCAAUUAAA